rnacentral:misc_RNA from 1 species
UAAGCAAACUGAGAACCAUUGCCAGCAGCUGCAAGGAUCAAUAUUCAUCAUUAUUAGAAAAAAAAAUCAAGAUUCUAAAGGAUCAAGCUUUUUUUCUCAAUUAUUAUGAGAAAAGUAUAUUUCUACAUAUGGAGCAUUCAAAUGGUUUUACCUCACAAGCUUCCAUAAAAAAAAUUAAGAUAAAUUACUUUUUCACAUCCAGGUCAUGUCAAAAUUAACACUUCAAAUUCAGUUAAUUUUCCAUUGGUUGAAUGAAAAUAAGCCCAACCUAAAUACCCUUAAUGAGAUGCUUUCUAUCUCUUUGUUCUUCUCUCUCCUCCCCAUACCUUCUCUCUGUCUGUUCUUCUUCCUGCCCACCCUCUCCACGACCCCAAUCAAACAUGCUCUCCCUAAUCCUAUUCCAGAUUCCCAAUAGCACAACCACAAUCUUUUAGAGAAUCCAAUCAAAGUAAGUGAAAUCUCUUCCUUUCCUCUUCCUUAAUUCCAAUUUUCAACACCAUUAAUUCAAUUUUUUCCUCCUCAUUCAAUUCCUUUUUUAUUUUUUCUUGUUUGUGGUGUUCUAAUUAGUGCAUGUUCCAAAACAUACAAGCAAUGACGAGCCACCACACAAUUUCUCAGAGCCUGACCAAUAAACAAUAGCAUUUUAAUGUGUUUGAGGAAAACUUGAAGCAUAUUCACAAGGUGAACCAGAAGGAUAAGCCUUACAACUAAGAUUGAAUAAGUUUGCUGACAUGAAUAACCAAGAGUUCAAUAACCACUAGAGCUCAAAUGCUAACCAUUACAAGUUACUCAAUGGAUCCUCACAGCAAACUGCAUUCAUCCAUGAGAACACUAAUCUCCCACCAUUAG